rnacentral:rRNA from 1 species
GAUGAACGCUAGCGGCAGGCCUAAUACAUGCAAGUCGAACGGUGUCUUCGGACAUAGUGGCGCACGGGUGCGUAACACGUAUGCAACCUACCUUACAUUGGGGGAUAGCCUUUCGAAAGGGAGAUUAAUACCGCAUAAGACAGUAGCUGGGCAUCCAGCAGCUGUUAAAGAUUUAUCGAUGUAAACUGGGCAUGCGUCCAAUUAGCUAGUUGGUGAGGUAACGGCUCACCAAGGCAAUGAUUGGUAGGGGAACUGAGAGGUCAAUCCCCCACACUGGCACUGAGAUACGGGCCGGACUCCUACGGGAGGCAGCAGUAGGGAAUAUUGGGCAAUGGACGCAAGUCUGACCCAGCCAUGCCGCGUGCAGGAUGAAGGCGUUAUGCGUUGUAAACUGCUUUUAUACAGGAAGAAACGACUCUUGCGAGAGGCAUUGACGGUACUGUAUGAAUAAGCACCGGCUAACUCCGUGCCAGCCGCCGCCGCAGUAA